rnacentral:rRNA from 1 species
GACGAACGCUGGCGGCGUGCUUAACACAUGCAAGUCGAACGGAAAGGCCCUGCUCUUGUGGGGUGCUCGAGUGGCGAACGGGUGAGUAACACGCGAGUAACCUGUCCUUGACUUUGGGAUAACUUUAGGAAACUGGGGCUAAUACCGGAUAGGAGCUCCUGCUGCAUGGUGGGGGUUGGAAAGUUUCGGCGGUUGGGGAUGGACUCGCGGCUUAUCAGCUUGUUGGUGGGGUAGUGGCUUACCAAGGCUUUGACGGGUAGCCGGCCUGAGAGGGUGACCGGCCACAUUGGGACUGAGAUACGGCCCAGACUCCAACGGGAGGCAGCGGUGGGGAAUAUUGCACAAUGGGCGGCAGCCUGAUGCAACAACUCCGCGUGCGGGAUGACGGCCUUCGGGUUGUAAACCGCUUUCGCCUGUGACGAAGCGUGAGUGACGGUAAUGGGUAAGGAAGCACCGGCUAACUACGUG